GUGGGGAAUAUUGCGCAAUGGGGGCAACCCUGACGCAGCAAUACCGCGUGAGUGAAGAAGGUUUUCGGAUUGUAAAACUCUUUUAUUGGGGAAGAAGAAGUGACGGUACCCAAUGAAGAAGUCCCGGCUAACUACGUGCCAGCAGCCGCGGUAAUACGUAGGGGACAAGCGUUGUCCGGAAUCACUGGGCGUAAAGGGCGCGUAGGCGGUUUUAUAAGUCAGAUGUGAAAGGUACCGGCUCAACCGGUGACGUGCAUUUGAAACUGUAAGACGUGAGUACGGGAGAGGCAAGUGGAAUUCCUAGUGUAGCGGUGAAAUGCGUAGAUAUUAGGAGGAACACCGGUGGCGAAGGCGGCUUGCUGGACAGAUACUGACGCUGAGGUGCGAAAGCGUGGGGAGCGAACAGGAUUAGAUACCCGGGUAGUCC
rnacentral:rRNA from 1 species